GAUCAUGGCUCAGGAUGAACGCUAGCUACAGGCUUAACACAUGCAAGUCGAGGGCAGCGAGAAGGAAGCUUGCUUCUUGUCGGCGACCGGCGCACGGGUGAGUAACGCGUAUCCAACCUUCCCCUUAGUAGGGCAUAGCCCGUAGAAAUGCGGAUUAAUACCCUAUGUUAUUCGUCGAGGACAUCUGAAGUGAAUCAAAGGUUUACCGCUAAGGGAUGGGGAUGCGUCUGAUUAGGCAGCAGGCGGGGUAACGGCCCACCUGGCCUACGAUCAGUAGGGGUUCUGAGAGGAAGGUCCCCCACAUUGGAACUGAGACACGGUCCAAACUCCUACGGGAGGCAGCAGUGAGGAAUAUUGGUCAAUGGGCGCGAGCCUGAACCAGCCAAGUAGCGUGCAGGACGACGGCCCUUAUGGGUUGUAAACUGUCUUUUAUGCGGGGAUAAAGUUCACUACGUGUAGUGUUUUGUAGGUACCGCAUGAAUAAGGACCGGCUAAUUCCGUGCCAGCCGCCGC
rnacentral:rRNA from 1 species